rnacentral:rRNA from 1 species
GACGAACGCUGGCGGCGUGCUUAACACAUGCAAGUCGAACGGAAAGGCCCUGCUUUUGUGGGGUGCUCGAGUGGCGAACGGGUGAGUAACACGUGAGUAACCUGCCCUUGACUUUGGGAUAACUUCAGGAAACUGGGGCUAAUACCGGAUAGGAGCUCCUGCUGCAUGGUGGGGGUUGGAAAGUUUCGGCGGUUGGGGAUGGACUCGCGGCUUAUCAGCUUGUUGGUGGGGUAGUGGCUUACCAAGGCUUUGACGGGUAGCCGGCCUGAGAGGGUGACCGGCAACAUGGGGACUGAGACAGGGCCGAGCCUCCUACGGGAGGAAGAGGGGGGAAAUAUGCCACAGGGGGGGGAGGCCUGGGGCGGCAACGCCGGGUGGGGGAUGACGGCCUGGGGGUUGUAAACCGCUUUCGCCGGGGAGGAAGGGUGAGGGACGGUAAUGGGUAAAGAAGCCCCGGCUAACUACGUG